GGUGUUCCGACCUAGCUCUCUUUUUAAAUAUCAACAUGUUAGGAAUACAUAAAUUCGGUUUUCUUGUCGGAUGUGUCGGUUACGCAGCAGCACUGUCGGUUCUUCGACCAGAAAACAUUCUUGAAGACGUCAGAGCCAAAACGGAAGACACAGCACAAGCUCCCAG